rnacentral:rRNA from 1 species
GGUUAAGUGACUAAGCGUACAUGGUGGAUGCCUUGGCAGUCAGAGGCGAUGAAGGACGUACUAACCUGCGAUAAGCCGUGAGCAGUCGGUAAGAGACAUUACGACUCACGGAUUUCCGAAUGGGGAAACCCACCCGAGAUAACUCGGGUAUCUGUUACUGAAUACAUAGGUAACAGAGGCGAACCGGGAGAACUGAAACAUCUAAGUACCCCGAGGAAAAGAAAUCAACCGAGAUUC